UAGGGAAUAUUGCACAAUGGAGGAAACUCUGAUGCAGCGACGCCGCGUGAGUGAUGAAGGCCUUCGGGUCGUAAAGCUCUGUCGCAGGGGAAUAACACAAUGAAGGUACCCUGUAAGAAAGGAUCGGCUAACUUCGUGCCAGCAGCCGCGGUAAGACGAGGGAUCCUAGCGUUGUUCGGAAUUAUUGGGCGUAAAGCGGGUGUAGGUGGCUAUGUAAGUCAAGUGUGAAAGCCUGGGGCUCAACCCCAGAAGUGCAUUUGAUACUGCGUAGCUUGAGUGCUGGAGAGGUUACUAGAAUUGUUGGUGUAGUGGUGAAAUACGUAGAUAUCAACAGGAAUACCGGUGGCGAAGGCGGGUAACUGGCCAAGCACUGACACUCAGACCCGAAAGCGUGGGGAUCAAACA
rnacentral:rRNA from 1 species